UCUUGUUCUCCAAUUGCUACGAAACUCUCC
rnacentral:piRNA from 1 species